ACGCCUACAACGACCUUCUGCAGAACCGAGAGAACCAGUCCAUGCUGAUCACCGGGGAGUCCGGCGCGGGGAAAACCGUCAACACCAAGCGGGUGAUCCAGUAUUUCGCCAUCGUCGCCGCUCUGGGAGAGACCGUGAAGAAAG